AGCUAAUACUUGCUUUAGCACUCUUGAUUAAGUUCUUGAGUGUGUACUUGUUAAGCCUUUUAAGAAAAAAGUUAUUAACUUAAGGAAUUAUAACAAAGAAGCAACACGUAAAUGGAUUUUCCAUUUUUUAGUGUGUAUCAAUCGAGUUUCUGACCUAUCAGCUUUUGAUGUUAGGGUAUUGGCCUAACAUGGCUAUGACGGGUAACGGGGAAUUAGAGUUCGAUUCCGGAGAGGGAGCCUGAGAAAUAGCUACCACAUCUAAGGAAGGCAGCAGGCGCGUAAAUUACGCAAUUCUAAAGAAGAGAGGUAGUGACAAGAAAUAACAAUACAAGGCCAAUCUGGCUUUGUAAUUGGAAUGAUGGGAAUUUAAAACCUUCCCAAAACUCAAUUGGAGGGCAAGUCUGGUGCCAGCAGCCGCGGUAAUUCCAGCUCCAAUAGCGUAUAUUAAAAUUGUUGCAGUUAAAACGCUCGUAGUUGAAUUUCAAAGAAUCGAUAUUUUAAGUAGCACUUUGUAGAUUAAUCCACAUAACUGAUACUACGUAUCGACUUUGUGCGCAUUUUUCUACUUAUGUGUUCUUUUAAUUAAAAUGAUUCUUUUUAAGAUCUUUCUUUUUUGCUUCGGCAUUUUAGGAGAUCUUGUUACUUUGAGUAAAUUAGAGUGUUCAAAGCAAACAGAUUAUAGCAUCUUUAUGCGUUUGAAUACUACAGCAUGGAAUAACAAAAUUGAACAAGUCAGAAUUUUGUUCUUUUUUCUUAUUUUGGCUUAGUUACGAUUAAUAGGAGUAGCUUGGGGGCAUUUGUAUUCAGAUGUCAGAGGUGAAAUUCUUAGAUUUUCUGGAGACAAACAACUGCGAAAGCAUUUGCCUAAAAUACUUCCAUUAAUCAAGAACGAAAGUUAAGGGAGUGAAGACGAUCAGAUACCGUCGUAAUCUUAACCAUAAACUAUGCCGACUAGGCUUUGGAUGAAAGAUUUUAAAAUAAGAGUUUUUUCUCU
rnacentral:rRNA from 1 species